rnacentral:lncRNA from 1 species
UAUGAUCGAUGAGCAGAAAACAAACUUAAGCUUUAGAGAACAGAGGCUUCUCGAUCGAAUUCAAUUGUUGCAUCCCAUGUCGUUGCCGAUUAGAUAAGAAAAAAAAAGGCCAAAUGGGCUUAGAUCAGUGCCCAAUCUAAUUCGUUUACUUGGCAAAUACUCCACACACAAGAUGUUUGAUUAAACGUACGUGAUCUAAAUUAAAUUAUUCUCAACCUUAAUUCGUACAAUAUUAACAAGUAUCUUCCACCCAAUAUUAU